rnacentral:lncRNA from 1 species
AUGCUCAGUUAUUUCAAUGCGGCAGCAGCAGCUCUGUCUCUCUGCUUUCAUUUUUAUUACACUUGGGGUGUGACCUGCUUUCUCCUGAUGGCCUGUGAUACUCUCAUCCUCAUCUUCUCUGUCACUGUUGCUUUAACCUCCUGUUCCUGUUGCUGCAGACCAAAGUCAAGACAUGUCGAGAUCAGUUAUAUGAACGCAGAUUUGCCCGUCAACCAUAUUGUGCUCAUGGGCCAGCCGGACCCCUCUGCAGUGGUACAGUCCGUUAGUUCAGUCAUGUAUGUGCUGCCAGCAGUCCCACCUGCGCCUCUGCCAAAUUACAGUCCAGUACCAACUACACCUCCACCAGCCUAUGACCAGGUCUCAGCUGCACCUCCACCAAACUACGGUCCAGUCCCGAGUGCUCCUCCACCAGCAUAUGCGGUAAUUAUGAGCAUU